rnacentral:lncRNA from 1 species
GAAAUAAGGGAAAAGGAAGACUGAGUGUUUAUCAACACUUAACCAACAGAGCUCCCCAAACCUCUCAAAAGCCAAAAGGGUCUUCAACCCCAUCGCCACUGCCAUAAAAAACCCACUUGAUCCUCGCUUCCACAACACCGUCCUCCAUCCUACGCAGCAAUCUCCACCGUCAACUAGGGACUUAACCAAAUAGCCUUGGUCCAUGGAAGCUUUCUGUACAUGCAGAAUUGCAAAGUCGCAGUUCACCCAAAUCGUUCUUGUCCUUGUUAGUUUUAUCAUGUCAUGUGCAAAUGGUCUGAUGAAGAAUACGAAGUAGUAGUUUUGGAUCUGUCCUCCUCCGCUGACUUAAUCUUUGCCAUUGCAACUACCGACCUCUGGAUCUAGAUAAUUGACUUAAGAUUUCUUGUGCAAUUCCUUUGCCCAGAACUUUUCUAGAUCAGUUCGUCCUCUGGGAGCAUGUAUUUUUGAAAUAGGAACCAUGUAUUUUGAAACAGUAACGAAGGA